rnacentral:rRNA from 1 species
UUAAGUUAGAAAGGGCGCACGGUGGAUGCCUUGACACUAGGAGUCGAUGAAGGACGGGACUAACGCCGAUAUGCUUCGGGGAGCUGUAAGUAAGCUUUGAUCCGAAGAUUUCCGAAUGGGGAAACCCACCAUACGUAAUGGUAUGGUAUCCUUAUCUGAAUACAUAGGGUAAGGAAGACAGACCCAGGGAACUGAAACAUCUAAGUACCUGGAGGAAGAGAAAGCAAAUGCGAUUUCCUGAGUAGCGGCGAGCGAAACGGAACAUAGCCCAAACCAAGAGGCUUGCCUCUUGGGGUUGUAGGACAUUCUAUACGGAGUUACAAAGGAACGAGGUAGACGAAGCGACCUGGAAAGGUCCGUCGUAGAGGGUAACAACCCCGUAGUCGAAACUUCGUUCUCUCUUGAAUGUAUCCUGAGUACGGCGGAACACGUGAAAUUCCGUCGGAAUCUGGGAGGACCAUCUCCCAAGGCUAAAUACUCCCUAGUGAUCGAUAGUGAACCAGUACCGUGAGGGAAAGGUGAAAAGCACCCCGGAAGGGGAGUGAAAGAGAUCCUGAAACCGUGUGCCUACAAAUAGUCAGAGCCCGUUAACGGGUGAUGGCGUGCCUUUUGUAGAAUGAACCGGCGAGUUACGAUCCCGUGCGAGGUUAAGCUGAAGAGGCGGAGCCGCAGCGAAAGCGAGUCUGAAUAGGGCGUUUAGUACGUGGUCGUAGACCCGAAACCAGGUGAUCUACCCAUGUCCAGGGUGAAGUUCAGGUAACACUGAAUGGAGGCCCGAACCCACGCACGUUGAAAAGUGCGGGGAUGAGGUGUGGGUAGCGGAGAAAUUCCAAUCGAACCUGGAGAUAGCUGGUUCUCCCCGAAAUAGCUUUAGGGCUAGCCUUAAGUGUAAGAGUCUUGGAGGUAGAGCACUGAUUGGACUAGGGGUCCUCAUCGGAUUACCGAAUUCAGUCAAACUCCGAAUGCCAAUGACUUAUCCUUAGGAGUCAGACUGCGAGUGAUAAGAUCCGUAGUCAAAAGGGAAACAGCCCAGACCGCCAGCUAAGGUCCCAAAGUGUGUAUUAAGUGGAAAAGGAUGUGGAGUUGCUUAGACAACUAGGAUGUUGGCUUAGAAGCAGCCACCAUUUAAAGAGUGCGUAAUAGCUCACUAGUCGAGUGACUCUGCGCCGAAAAUGUACCGGGGCUAAAUACACCACCGAAGCUGCGGAUUGAUACCGAAUGGUAUCAGUGGUAGGGGAGCGUUCUAAGGACAGUGAAGUCAGACCGUAAGGACUGGUGGAGUGCUUAGAAGUGAGAAUGCCGGUAUGAGUAGCGAAAGACGGGUGAGAAUCCCGUCCACCGAAUGCCUAAGGUUUCCUGAGGAAGGCUCGUCCGCUCAGGGUUAGUCAGGACCUAAGCCGAGGCCGACAGGCGUAGGCGAUGGACAACAGGUUGAUAUUCCUGUACCACCUCUUUAUCGUUUGAGCAAUGGAGGGACGCAGAAGGAUAGAAGAAGCGUGCGAUUGGUUGUGCACGUCCAAGCAGUUAGGCUGAUAAGUAGGCAAAUCCGCUUAUCAUAAAGGCUGAGCUGUGAUGGGGAAGCUCCUUAUGGAGCGAAGUCUUUGAUUCCCCGCUGCCAAGAAAAGCUUCUAGCGAGAUAAAAGGUGCCUGUACCGCAAACCGACACAGGUAGGCGAGGAGAGAAUCCUAAGGUGUGCGAGAGAACUCUGGUUAAGGAACUCGGCAAAAUGACCCCGUAACUUCGGGAGAAGGGGUGCUUUCUUAACGGAAAGCCGCAGUGAAUAGGCCCAAGCGACUGUUUAGCAAAAACACAGCUCUCUGCGAAGCCGUAAGGCGAAGUAUAGGGGGUGACACCUGCCCGGUGCUGGAAGGUUAAGGAGAGGGGUUAGCGUAAGCGAAGCUCUGAACUGAAGCCCCAGUAAACGGCGGCCGUAACUAUAACGGUCCUAAGGUAGCGAAAUUCCUUGUCGGGUAAGUUCCGACCCGCACGAAAGGUGUAACGAUUUGGGCACUGUCUCAACCAGAGACUCGGUGAAAUUAUAGUACCUGUGAAGAUGCAGGUUACCCGCGACAGGACGGAAAGACCCCGUGGAGCUUUACUGUAGCCUGAUAUUGAAUUUUGGUACAGUUUGUACAGGAUAGGCGGGAGCCAUUGAAACCGGAGCGCUAGCUUCGGUGGAGGCGCUGGUGGGAUACCGCCCUGACUGUAUUGAAAUUCUAACCUACGGGUCUUAUCGACCCGGGAGACAGUGUCAGGUGGGCAGUUUGACUGGGGCGGUCGCCUCCUAAAGUGUAACGGAGGCGCCCAAAGGUUCCCUCAGAAUGGUUGGAAAUCAUUCGUAGAGUGCAAAGGCAUAAGGGAGCUUGACUGCGAGACCUACAAGUCGAGCAGGGACGAAAGUCGGGCUUAGUGAUCCGGUGGUUCCGCAUGGAAGGGCCAUCGCUCAACGGAUAAAAGCUACCCGGGGAUAACAGGCUUAUCUCCCCCAAGAGUCCACAUCGACGGGGAGGUUUGGCACCUCGAUGUCGGCUCAUCGCAUCCUGGGGCUGUAGUCGGUCCCAAGGGUUGGGCUGUUCGCCCAUUAAAGCGGUACGCGAGCUGGGUUCAGAACGUCGUGAGACAGUUCGGUCCCUAUCCGUCGUGGGCGUAGGAAAUUUGAGAGGAGCUGUCCUUAGUACGAGAGGACCGGGAUGGACGCACCGCUGGUGUACCAGUUGUUCUGCCAAGGGCAUAGCUGGGUAGCUAUGUGCGGAAGGGAUAAGUGCUGAAAGCAUCUAAGCAUGAAGCCCCCCUCAAGAUGAGAUUUCCCAUAGCGUAAGCUAGUAAGAUCCCUGAAAGAUGAUCAGGUUGAUAGGUUCGAGGUGGAAGCAUGGUGACAUGUGGAGCUGACGAAUACUAAUAGAUCGAGGACUUAACCAU